rnacentral:rRNA from 13 species
UGCCAGCAGCCGCGGUAAUACGGAGGGUGCAAGCGUUAUCCGGAUUCACUGGGUUUAAAGGGUACGUAGGCGGGCUUAUAAGUCAGUGGUGAAAUCCUUCCGCUCAACGGAAGAACUGCCAUUGAAACUGUAAGUCUUGAGUAUGAUUGAGGUAAGCGGAAUGUAGCAUGUAGCGGUGAAAUGCAUAGAUAUGCUACAGAACACCAAUAGCGAAGGCAGCUUACCAAGUCAUUACUGACGCUGAGGUACGAAAGCGUGGGUAGCGAACAGGAUUAGAUACCCUGGUAGUCCACGCCGUAAACGAUGAUAACUAGCUGUCCGGGCUCAUAGAGCUUGGGUGGCGCAGCUAACGCAUUAAGUUAUCCGCCUGGGGAGUACGGUCGCAAGAUUAAAACUCAAAGGAAUUGACGGGGA